rnacentral:rRNA from 1 species
GACGAACGCUGGCGGCGUGCUUAACACAUGCAAGUCGAACGAUGAAGCCUAGCUUGCUAGGUGGAUUAGUGGCGAACGGGUGAGUAAUACGUGAGUGACCUACCUUUGACUCUGGGAUAAGCCUGGGAAACUGGGUCUAAUACCGGAUACGACCAAUCUCCGCAUGGGGUGUUGGUGGAAAGCGUUAUGGAGUGGUUUUAGAUGGGCUCACGGCCUAUCAGCUUGUUGGUGAGGUAAUGGCUUACCAAGGCGACGACGGGUAGCCGGCCUGAGAGGGUGACCGGCCACACUGGGACUGAGACACGGCCCAGACUCCUACGGGAGGCAGCAGUGGGGAAUAUUGCACAAUGGGCGCAAGCCUGAUGCAGCGACGCCGCGUGAGGGAUGACGGCCUUCGGGUUGUAAACCUCUGUUAGCAUCGAACAAGCGAAAGUGACGGUAGGUGCAGAGAAAGCGCCGGCUAACUACGUGCCAGCAGCCGCGGUAAUACGUAGGGCGCGAGCGUUGUCCGGAAUUAUUGGGCGUAAAGAGCUUGUAGGCGGUUGGUCGCGUCUGCUGUGAAGGCUGGGGCUUAACCCUGGUUUUGCAGUGGGUACGGGCUAACUAGAGUGCAGUAGGGGAGACUGGAAUUCCUGGUGUAGCGGUGGAAUGCGCAGAUAUCAGGAGGAACACCGAUGGCGAAGGCAGGUCUCUGGGCUGUAACUGACGCUGAGAAGCGAAAGCAUGGGGAGCGAACAGGAUUAGAUACCCUGGUAGUCCAUGCCGUAAACGUUGGGCACUAGGUGUGGGGGACAUUCCACGUUUUCCGCGCCGUAGCUAACGCAUUAAGUGCCCCGCCUGGGGAGUACGGCCGCAAGGCUAAAACUCAAAGAAAUUGACGGGGGCCCGCACAAGCGGCGGAGCAUGCGGAUUAAUUCGAUGCAACGCGAAGAACCUUACCAAGGCUUGACAUAUACUGGACUGCGUCAGAGAUGGCGUUUCCCUUCGGGGCUGGUAUACAGGUGGUGCAUGGUUGUCGUCAGCUCGUGUCGUGAGAUGUUGGGUUAAGUCCCGCAACGAGCGCAACCCUCGUUCUAUGUUGCCAGCACGUGAUGGUGGGGACUCAUAGGAGACUGCCGGGGUUAACUCGGAGGAAGGUGGGGAUGACGUCAAAUCAUCAUGCCCCUUAUGUCUUGGGCUUCACGCAUGCUACAAUGGCCGGUACAGAGGGUUGCGAUACUGUGAGGUGGAGCUAAUCCCUAAAAGCCGGUCUCAGUUCGGAUUGGGGUCUGCAACUCGACCCCAUGAAGUCGGAGUCGCUAGUAAUCGCAGAUCAGCAACGCUGCGGUGAAUACGUUCCCGGGCCU